AUGCUGCUGCUGGCAGCGCUUGUGGCCACAGCCGCUUGGUCUUAUGGAUUUGCGCAAGAAAUUCCCAUGCAGAGCCCUAUAUCCAUCACCAGGUUCCAAAAAAGUGCACGAAUGGUAUGUGAAUUUCAAACAUCAAGGGCCACCGUCAUACACUGGUAUCAACAGAAGGAGGGUAAAGCUCCAGAGAGGCUCCUAUUCUUUUCAGGAGGGAAAGCUACUGUUGAAAGUGGCUUUCAAGUGAACAGGUACCUGGUUGAAAAGGUUUCUGGCCAGAACCGGUAUGUUCUUACAAUAAAAGAUGUAAUUCCAGACGACGCUGCUACUUACUACUGCGCCUACUGGGAUCCUCACUAUGAUAGAAAUUCAAAGGUCAUCAAGGCAAAAAAACCCACCCCUCCCUCAACGUCUGAACCACAGGGCUGUAACUGUGCCACUCCCCUGAUCUUCUCGCUCCAUCUGGUAUGA